UACGUAGGUGGCGAGCGUUGUCCGGAUUUACUGGGCGUAAAGGGAGCGUAGGCGGACUUUUAAGUGAGAUGUGAAAUACUCGGGCUCAACUUGAGUGCUACAUUUCAAACUGGAAGUCUAGAGUGCAGGAGAGGAGAAUGGAAUUCCUAGUGUAGCGGUGAAAUGCGCAGAGAUUAGGAAGAACACCAGUGGCGAAGGCGAUUCUCUGGACUGUAACUGACGCUGAGGCUCGAAAGCGUGGGGAGCAAACAGG
rnacentral:rRNA from 1 species